CCCCUCUCAGGGUUACACCUGGAGAGUUCCCAGUACUCUACCACUCUGGGCUACAGGAGGGAGAGUCAAGCAGAGGCCUAUCCAUUCCAUUCCUAGCUUGGCCAGUGGCUAGCGAGUGGAAGGCCAUCUGCUAUAAAU